rnacentral:rRNA from 1 species
GACGUAGGGGGCCAGCGUUGUUCGGAAUUACUGGGUGUAAAGGGUUCGUAGGCGGUGCGGCAAGUUGGGAGUGAAAUCUCUGGGCUUAACCCAGAGGCUGCUUCCAAAACUGCUGUGCUUGAGUGUGGGAGAGGCGCGUGGAAUUGCAGGUGUAGCGGUGAAAUGCGUAGAUAUCUGCAGGAACACCCGUGGCGAAAGCGGCGCGCUGGACCACUACUGACGCUGAGGAACGCAAGCUAGGGGAGCAAACAGG